rnacentral:rRNA from 1 species
UUGACCUCAAAUCAGGUAGGACUACCCGCUGAACUUAAGCAUAUCAAUAAGCGGAGGAAAAGAAACUAACAAGGAUUCCCCUAGUAACUGCGAGUGAAGCGGGAAGAGCUCAAAUUUGAAAUCUGGCGGCUCUUUGACCGUCCGAGUUGUAAUCUAGAGAAGUGCUACCCGUGCUGGACUGUGUACAAGUCUCCUGGAAUGGGGCAUCGUAGAGGGUGAGAAUCCCGUCUUUGACAYGGACUGCCAGUGCGCCCUGGGUGUGCUCUCGAAGAGUCGAGUUGUUUGGGAAUGCAGCUCAAAAUGGGUGGUAAAUGCCAUCUAAAGCUAAAUAUUGGCGAGAGACCGAUAGCGAACAAGUACCGUGAGGGAAAGAUGAAAAGAACUUUGGAAAGAGAGUUAAACAGUACGUGAAAUUGCUGAAAGGGAAACGCUUGGAGUCAGUCGCGUUGGCCAGAAAUCAGCCUUGCUCCUGCUUGGUGUACUUUCUGGUCUUUUACGGGUCAGCAUCAAUCUUGACCGCCGGACAAAGUCUUUGGGAAUGUGGCAUCUUUUGGAUGUGUUAUAGCCCAGGGUCGCAUACGGCGGCUGGGAUUGAGGAACUCAGCACGCCCGCAAGGGAUGGGUCCUUGGACCACAAUUUUUUUUCGUGCUUAGGAUGCUGGCAUAAUGGCUUCAAUCGACCCGUC